UGGGGAAUAUUGCACAAUGGGCGCAAGCCUGAUGCAGCCAUGCCGCGUGUGUGAAGAAGGCCUUCGGGUUGUAAAGCACUUUCAGCGGGGAGGAAGGCGGUGAGGUUAAUAACCUCAUCGAUUGACGUUACCCGCAGAAGAAGCACCGGCUAACUCCGUGCCAGCAGCCGCGGUAAUACGGAGGGUGCAAGCGUUAAUCGGAAUUACUGGGCGUAAAGCGCACGCAGGCGGUCUGUCAAGUCGGAUGUGAAAUCCCCGGGCUCAACCUGGGAACUGCAUUCGAAACUGGCAGGCUAGAGUCUUGUAGCGGGGGGUAGAAUUCCAGGUGUAGCGGUGAAAUGCGUAGCGAUCUGGAGGAAUACCGGUGGCGAAGGCGGCCCCCUGGACAAAGACUGACGCUCAGGUGCGAAAGCGUGGGGAGCAAACAGG
rnacentral:rRNA from 1 species